rnacentral:rRNA from 1 species
AACGAACGCUGGCGGCAGGCCUAACACAUGCAAGUCGAGCGAGGUAGCAAUACCUAGCGGCGGACGGGUGAGUAACGCGUGGGAACGUGCCCCUUGGUACGGAAUAGCCCCGGGAAACUGGGAGUAAUACCGUAUGAGCUCUACGGAGGAAAGAUUUAUCGCCAAGGGAUCGGCCCGCGUUGGAUUAGGUAGUUGGUGGGGUAAUGGCCUACCAAGCCGACGAUCCAUAGCUGGUUUGAGAGGAUGAUCAGCCACACUGGGACUGAGACACGGCCCAGACUCCUACGGGAGGCAGCAGUGGGGAAUCUUAGACAAUGGGCGCAAGCCUGAUCUAGCCAUGCCGCGUGAGCGAUGAAGGCCUUAGGGUUGUAAAGCUCUUUCAGCUGGGAAGAUAAUGACUGUACCAGCAGAAGAAGCCCCGGCUAACUCCGUGCCAGCAGCCGCGGUAACAC